rnacentral:rRNA from 1 species
GAGGAAAAGAAACCAACAGGGAUUGCCUUAGUAGCGGCGAGUGAAGCGGCAAAAGCUCAAAUUUGAAAUCUGGCACUUUCAGUGUCCGAGUUGUAAUUUGAAGAAGGUAUCUUUGGGUCUGGCUCUUGUCUAUGUUUCUUGGAACAGAACGUCACAGAGGGUGAGAAUCCCGUGCGAUGAGAUGUCCCAGACCUAUGUAAAGUUCCUUCGAAGAGUCGAGUUGUUUGGGAAUGCAGCUCUAAGUGGGUGGUAAAUUCCAUCUAAAGCUAAAUAUUGGCGAGAGACCGAUAGCGAACAAGUACAGUGAUGGAAAGAUGAAAAGAACUUUGAAAAGAGAGUGAAAAAGUACGUGAAAUUGUUGAAAGGGAAGGGCUUGAGAUCAGACUUGGUAUUUUGUAUGUUACUCUCUCGGGGGUGGCCUCUACAGUUUACCGGGCCAGCAUCAGUUUGAGCGGUAGGAUAAGUGCAAAGAAAUGUGGCACUGCUUCGGUAGUGUGUUAUAGUCUUUGUCGAUACUGCCAGCUUAGACUGAGGACUGCGGCUUCGGCCUAGGAUGUUGGCAUAAUGAUCUUAAGUCGCCCGUCU